UACAGAGGGGGCAAGCGUUGUUCGGAAUUACUGGGCGUAAAGGGCGCGUAGGCGGCCUGCUAAGUCGAACGUGAAAUCCCUGGGCUCAACCCAGGAACUGCGUCCGAUACUGGUUGGCUUGAAUCCGGGAGAGGGAUGUGGAAUUCCAGGUGUAGCGGGUGAAAUGCGUAGAUAUCUGGAGGAACACCGGUGGCGAAGGCGACAUCCUGGACCGGGUAUGACGCUGAGGCGCGAAAGCCAGGGGAGCAAACGGG
rnacentral:rRNA from 1 species